CCUACGGGGGGCUGCAGUAGGGAAUAUUCCGCAAUGGGCGAAAGCCUGACGGAGCAACGCCGCGUGAGUGAAGAAGGUUUUCGGAUCGUAAAGCUCUGUCAACAGGGACGAAACAAGACGGUACCUGAGAAGGAAGCCACGGCAAACUACGUGCCAGCAGCCGCGGUAAUACGUAGGUGGCAAGCGUUGUCCGGAAUAACUGGGCGUAAAGCGCAUGUAGACGGCAUGAUAAGCCAAAUGUGAAAUGUAGGGGCUCAACCCCUGCACUGCGAUUGGAACUGUCAAGCUUGAGUGCAGGAGAGGCAAAUGGAAUUCCCAGUGUAGCAGUGAAAUGCGUAGAGAUUGGGAGGAACACCAGUGGCGAAGGCGAUUUGCUGGACUGCAACUGACGUUGAGAUGCGAAAGCCAGGGGAGCAAACGGGAUUAGAUACCCCUGUAGUC
rnacentral:rRNA from 1 species